AAGUGGGACGCAUGAUAGUGACGUAAUUGCUGGCGUAGCUCCUGAGUUUCCGCUGAGGAGCCGCGGGAAAGGAGAGGAGGGGCGGUGGCCAGGCGGUUGCCCUGACAACGGGAAACCGACAGUCUCUUCCCGGUAGGGAGAGGGGAUGGCGGAAUUACUCCUCUAAAGUCAAGGUUUUCUAAUCACAGAAUUACUGGAGCGUCAAGAAGCGCCUGCAUGCUUGGAAGGGCUUCCAGGCAGAUGAACACACCUCAGCACCGGGUGGCAGUUUCCCAGGGUGCAACCCGGACCGGCUCUGGGUCACACUGACAAGCCUCUCCGACUCCCCAGGCUGGGUUGGGUGCUCCUCCCUCUCAUCCCACAGCGCUAUGUCUCAUGUCUUCUGGAAAACUUGCCAAUCCCUAGUGAUAACAAGGAUUAACAAUUUCCAGAGACAGCCCGUACAUAGAGGGAAAGUUUACUGAAAAAAAUGAAGAGGGGUCAGGGCAAGGCGAGGAGCAAGAAGCAUCCCCAAGGAAACAGAGAAGACCAGUACAACUGUACCUCUUUGCCAGCUGCACCAUCCGUACCAGGUUCGCCCUGGGGAGUAAAGAGCAAUGGAGACAUGAGGAGCUCCAACCCA